rnacentral:misc_RNA from 1 species
UACGUAGGUGGCAAGCGGUGUCCGGAAUUAUUGGGCGUAAAGCGCGCGCAGGUGGUUCUUUAAGUCUGAUGUGAAAGCCCACGGCUCAACCCUGAGAGUGCAUCGGAAACUGGUGAUCUUGAGGACAGGAGAGGAAAGUGGAAUUCCACGUGUAGCGGUGAAAUGCGUAGAUAUGUGGAGGAACACCGGUGGCGAAGGCGACUUUCUGGACUGUAACUGACGCUGAGGCGCGAAAGCGUGGGGAGCAAACAGG